AUGGCAGGUACAGAGGGAUGCUACCGGGCGACCGGAUGCGGAUCUCGAAAGCCUGCCCCAGUUCGGACUGGAGUCUGCAACCCGACUCCACGAAGUUGGAUUCGCUAGUAGUCGCGCAUCAGCCAUGGCGCGGUGAAUACGUUCCCGGGCCUUGUACACACCGCCCGUCAAGCCAUGGGAGCCGGGGGCGCCUGAAGUCCGGGACCGCGAGGACCGGCCUAGGGCGAAACUGGUAACUGGGGCUAAGUCGUAACAAGGUAGC
rnacentral:rRNA from 1 species